rnacentral:misc_RNA from 1 species
AAGUUCAUGAGCAUACACAGAAAGAGCUCUAGCAACUGUCAGUAUGAGUGAUUUACAUGGAGCUGGUUUUGGAAUCCCUUUCUACAUGCGUAUAAAGCUAUGUUUAGGUAAUACUGCUAUAAAACUGCUCAGAAUUGAAACUAUAUCAGUUUCUUUUGCUUUUUUAAAAGAUGAAAGGAGAUAAUCAAUACACAGUAUACUUGUAUCCAUUGUUGCCUUCGAUGGGAUAUGAUUCAUCGCAAAUAAAUGAAAG